rnacentral:rRNA from 1 species
GAUGAACGCUGGCGGCGUGCCUAAUACAUGCAAGUCGAGCGAACGGACGAGAAGCUUGCUUCUCUGAUGUUAGCGGCGGACGGGUGAGUAACACGUGGAUAACCUACCUAUAAGACUGGGAUAACUUCGGGAAACCGUAGCUAAUACCGGAUAAUAUUUUGAACCGCAUGGUUCAAAAGUGAAAAACGGUCUUGCUGUCACUUAUAGAUGGAUCCGCGCUGCAUUAGCUAGUUGGUAAGGUAACGGCUUACCAAGGCAACGAUGCAUAGCCGACCUGAGAGGGGGUACGGCCGCAGUGGAACUGAGACACGGUCCAGACUCCUACGGGAGGCAGCAGUAGGGAAUCGUCCGCAAUGGGCGGAAGCCUGAAGGAGCAACGCCGAGUGAGUGAUGAAGGUCUUCGGAUCGUAAAACUCUGUUAUUAGGGAAGAACAUAUGUGUAAGUAACUGUGCACAUCUUGACGGUACCUAAUCAGAAAGCCGCGGCUAACUACGUG